rnacentral:rRNA from 1 species
UACGAAGGGGGCUCGCGUUGUUCGGAAUUACUGGGCGUAAAGCGCGUGUAGGCGGGCCGUUAAGUCGGGGGUGAAAGCCCAGAGCUCAACUCUGGAAUUGCCUUCGAUACUGGCGGCCUGGAGCAUGAUAGAGGCGAGUAGAAUUGCGAGUGUAGAGGGGAAAUUCGUAGAUAUUCGCAGGAACACCAGUGGCGAAGGCGACUCGCUGGAUCAUUGCUGAUGCUGAGACGCGAAAGCGUGGGGAGCAAACAGG